AAUUACAUACUUUCAAGUCUUCCGACUUUGAAGAGUCUUCUUGAUUAUCAUUCAAGGGCCAUCGUACGUCUCAACGUCUCUUCGUCAUUCUUUCAUUCAUUCGUUCCUGAGCGAACUCUCAUGGGGAUUUGUUUCAUCAAAGCUUCCGCAUCACAACCUGCAAGUGAGUGAAAAUACCUAACAGUUCCUGCAAAACAGAUCGUUAGAUAAAAUCGUGCCCCAGGCGUGUCAAGAUUUCAACACUUGGGUCACUCAAUC
rnacentral:lncRNA from 1 species